GCUCCCAUGGCGUAGUGGUCACUGCACUCGCCAUGCACGCGGGAGACCCGGGUUCGAUUCCCGGCGGGGUCA
rfam:Asian citrus Psyllid, Diaphorina citri - Florida Strain, whole genome shotgun sequence.